AAAGCCGGAUUAAUACCGCAUACGCUCUACGGAGGAAAGCGGGGGAUCUUAGGACCUCGCGUUAUUGGGGUGGCCGAUGGCGGAUUAGCUAGUUGGUGGGGUAAAGGCUCACCAAGGCGACGAUCCGUAGCUGGUCUGAGAGGACGACCAGCCACACUGGGACUGAGACACGGCCCAGACUCCUACGGGAGGCAGCAGUGGGGAAUUUUGGACAAUGGGCGAAAGCCUGAUCCAGCAAUGCCGCGUGUGUGAAGAAGGCCUUCGGGUUGUAAAGCACUUUUGUCCGGAAAGAAAUCCCUGGUCCUAAUAUGGCCGGGGGAUGACGGUACCGGAAGAAUAAGCACCGGCUAACUACGUGCCAGCAGCCGCGGUAAUACGUAGGGUGCAAGCGUUAAUCGGAAUUACUGGGCGUAAAGCGUGCGCAGGCGGUGAUGCAAGACCGAUGUGAAAUCCCCGGGCUUAACCUGGGAACUGCAUUGGUGACUGCAUCGCUAGAGUAUGGCAGAGGGGGGUAGAAUUCCACGUGUAGCAGUGAAAUGCGUAGAGAUGUGGAGGAAUACCGAUGGCGAAGGCAGCCCCCUGGGUCAAUACUGACGCUCAUGCACGAAAGCGUGGGGAGCAAACAGGAUUAGAUACCCUG
rnacentral:rRNA from 1 species